rnacentral:rRNA from 1 species
UACGAAGGGAGCUAGCGUUGUUCGGAAUCACUGGGCGUAAAGCGCACGUAGGCGGAUGUGUCAGUCAGGGGUGAAAUCCCGGAGCUCAACUUCGGAACUGCCUUUGAUACAGCACGUCUUGAGUCCGAUAGAGGUGGGUGGAAUUCCUAGUGUAGAGGUGAAAUUCGUAGAUAUUAGGAAGAACACCGGUGGCGAAGGCGGCAUCCUGGACCAACACUGACACUGAGGAGCGAAAGCCAGGGGAGCAAACGGG